AUUUAUUAGAUUAAAAACCAAUGCCCUUCGGGGCUCUUUGGUGAUUCAUAAUAACUUUUCGAAUCGCAUGGCCUUGCGCCGGCGAUGGUUCAUUCAAAUUUCUGCCCUAUCAACUUUCGAUGGCAGGGUCUUGGCCUGCCAUGGUGACAACGGGUAACGGAGGGUUAGGGCUCGACCCCGGAGAAGGAGCCUGAGAAACGGCUACUACGUCCAAGGAAGACAGCAGGCGCGCAAAUUACCCAAUCCCGACUCGGGGAGGUAGUGACAAUAAAUACUGAUACAGGGCUCUUUUGGGUCUUGUAAUUGGAAUGAGUACAAUUUAAAUCCCUUAACGAGGAACAAUUGGAGGGCAAGUCUGGUGCCAGCAGCCGCGGUAAUUCCAGCUCCAAUAGCGUAUAUUAAAGUUGUUGCAGUUAAAAAGCUCGUAGUUGAACCUUGGGCCUGGCUGGCCGGUCCGCCUCACCGCGUGCACUGGUUCGGCCGGGCCUUUCCCUCUGGGGAACCGCAUGCCCUUCACUGGGUGUGUCGGGGAACCAGGACUUUUAC
rnacentral:rRNA from 1 species